rnacentral:rRNA from 1 species
AUUGAACGCUGGCGGCAGGCCUAACACAUGCAAGUCGAGCGGAUGAAGGGAGCUUGCUCCUGGAUUCAGCGGCGGACGGGUGAGUAAUGCCUAGGGAUCUGCCUGGUAGUGGGGGAUAACGUCCGGAAACGGGCGCUAAUACCGCAUACGUCCUGAGGGAGAAAGUGGGGGAUCUUCGGACCUCACGCUAUCAGAUGAGCCUAGGUCGGAUUAGCUAGUUGGUGGGGUAAAGGCCUACCAAGGCGACGAUCCGUAACUGGUCUGAGAGGAUGAUCAGUCACACUGGAACUGAGACACGGUCCAGACUCCUACGGGAGGCAGCAGUGGGGAAUAUUGGACAAUGGGCGAAAGCCUGAUCCAACCAUGCCGCGUGUGUGAAGAAGGUCUUCGGAUUGUAAAGCACUUUAAGUUGGGAGGAAGGGCAGUAAGUUAAUACCUUGCUGUUUUGACGUUACCAACAGAAUAAGCACCGGCUAACUUCGUG